AAAAAAUUUACCAGACAGAAAUGUAUACCUAACAAUCAGUACAACAAAAAAUUGAACUAUUGUGUCGUAUCUGAGAAACAUAGCCAGGACACUGAUGUUCAGUGGCUGUCGUCUGUUUAUGUGGUUCAAGAGUGUUUCUCGGUUUUUUUAUAGAUUAGACCUUUGGUUUUCCUGUUUGAAUGAUUUUACACUAGUAAUUUUUGGGGCC
rnacentral:lncRNA from 1 species